rnacentral:lncRNA from 1 species
GGUCUCGCCGUCAUUUUGGAUCCUUCCUCUUCCACUGUUUAGUGCUACCCAAAACUCUCCCUUAUCAUUUCUCUUGAUGUUAUCUGGCAUUUUUGGCAAUUGCGCAAACUGUUCUGGAGUAUAACUGUCAGUCGUACUACCAAGGUUGAACUUCAAAAUUCUCAUUUUAGUUGUUUCAGCAACUAAAAGGAAUGAAUUGUCCUUGCUUAGAGCCACUCCAUUUGGAAACGCUAAACCCUUGUAUAACACCGUUACUUCCUUGGUCCGAAAAUUAUAUUUAAGUAAUCUUCCGCUUCUAUCAAAUGUUAUUGUCGAUAAGAAAUAAUGCCUACACCAUUAUAGUAAUAAUAAUUAAUUUUUGUUUAUAUAUAUCUAUGUCAUUGGAGAGAGAAAAAUUGAGGUACCUUCUUUGGAAGAUAAUGCUACUAUCUGUAAAAUAAACUACUCCGGUGUUGGUAUCAAUGUCUAAAGCAUUUGUAAAUUUGAAAGGUACUCCUUCAGCUGAAGUAGCAAGUUGUUGAGCCACCCCACCACUGCGUCCAACCAAUAGGAGACCAAAGUAAGCAUCUGCAAUGUAGAGAUCGCAUGUUGCACUGUUGAAUUUCAGACCCAGUGGCCUUCCACAUGUUGGUUCAAGGUCUGGAUUUGUGGACCCAUCGCACAAUUUCCUAUCCCUAACCCAACAAAUCAAAGAAACCAUCAAUCAGUUGCUUAUACCAUAUAGUAAUUUUCUUUUAUUAGAACAAAUAUAUGGUGAAUAAUUCCAAAUUAAGUUCUUCAAGUCCACAAGUACUAUUAACUUGAGAACGAGCUAGACAAAGUAACCAUUUUAUAUAGAAUUUUGGUAUUCAAGUUCUUAAAAUCAGUAAGACUUCAAGCAGUACUGAAGUAUAGGAAAGGGAAAGAAAUGUUGGGUCAACGCUAACAGAGCAAAAGUCGAUUUCCAGGUCUUUGCAGCAACAAUAUUGUCAGCUUAGCUUUCAAUGCUAAUUGUUGAAAAACAGACAAUACAAUGUGCGAUAAAGAGUAGUGAGUCGUAUUGUGGUUUACUUCUAUGAAUAUCUUAGCUCAAUAAGAGCUAACCCAACUGUGUGGUUUUAGGUUUAUGUUCUAGCCAGGAGACAUGCAUGUUGGAUAAAAUUAUCUAUAAAAAAUAAAUAAAAAAGAGGCCCAAACAAGUGCUUACAUAAGCAAACCGAAUCACUGACACCAUCAUGAGGUUGAGCAAAUUAUUGUCCCGGUCAAAAUUCUAAUGUAAUUCAACAAACUCCAGUUUCGAACAAGAUGAUCAUGUUUAUGAUAUAUUCGUGGCUGUACCUGAGUGGGAAUGCAUGGCUGUUACAUUUUAAGCAUGAUGUACAAAACUUUUUUUGGUAAUGUAUAGUGGGCUGGCAACAAGUGGAAACCAUUUCCGUAAGAACUGGAAACAGACCAGGUGAAUGGCCCUGUUUUAAAUUCUUACUGAGUUGUUUCCAGGGAGUUGAGGUGAGUGGAGUACUGGCAGAGGGCGACUUAUUUGGGGAUUCUUUCAUAGUCUAACAAUAUGACAACGUUAGACUGAUGCAUCAGUGAAAUCUUACACCUUUCAAAAAAAAAAUCUACCAAAAACAGAACUGUUUGCGUCUCUUAAACAUAAAGUUGCAGCCAAUACUCUUUAAAGAAACAUGAGAUGAAAGAAAAAGUAAUUGUAUUCAUGCGGGCAGAUGUAGCAUAAAAUACCUGUCUGAAGAAGGUAUGGCAAACUCCUUCCAACCAAGAUUGGGUCCUUGCCAUUUGAGUAUUCUGCCAUCAGAGACACCAACAUAAGGCCCUUGGUUUUUGCAAUCAAAGGCGAUGCUUUCAGGUCCUGUGACUUGAGGGAGGUCUAUUUGGUAGUACUUCUUAUGGAGGUCAUCACCCUCAGGAAGUUGUUGAAAGGAUUGUAUGAUGUUUUGGGAGAGGAAAAGUACGAAGAACAAAAGCUUGAAUGAGUGAAAUAUCUUCAUGGUGAUAGAAGCACAUGACCUUUGGGGAUAUACUUAUAUUCACUGCACUUGGGGGCAGGAAUAAGAAUUUUAACUCAAAAUCAAAUUAUUAUUCAAGAUGUAAUCAAAAUAUAUUGUUUUUUUAAUAUCUGAAAUUAUAUUUUAUUUUUAAUAUUUAAAAUCAUGGUACGUAUUGUACAAAUCAAAUAAAAACAAUUGGCCACAUCAAUCUUACGGUUGAAGCUCUAAUGCUUAAAGUAUAUUUGGUCACAUAUACAUAUAGUGUACAUACUAGGAUUUAGCAUGCCAAUAAAAUGAAAAUAAUGAUAGACCAGUCCCCAGAGUACAUUUCUGGAAGUGCAAAAUCUUGGUUCAUUAUGUCUGAGUAUUUAAUUUUAUAGUAAGUACAUAUAUCUUUGUAACUUGAAUUCACCUUCUCUGUGUUCGUGGAUAUAACUUGGAUAGCAUAAGAAAAAUUAGGGUCAUCAUGUUACAUAUUUUGUAGAUACUCUAAGACACCACCAAUAUCUCCAACUUUCAUUGCCUCUGUUCUCUUAGAAUGUAAGUAAUUAUUAUAGUCCUCAAGAAUAAAACCAAGAUUCUCGAAUCCGCCAACUUUUCUUGCUAAAAACCCAACACUCUCCUUUGGUGCUAUUCCAGAGCAAUCAGCGAUUUCAAAUUCAACAGCUUAAGGGAGAUUAAUUGCCCUUUGAGAUCUUAAAAACAUACGCUUACAUGGAGAAGCUAAUGCAUGUGCAUGUUCUACAAUAAAUUUAGUAACACGUAAUUUAUCAUCAUAUCGUAAAACUUUUAAUACAGCUAAGCACCCAAAUCUUGUUUCUGGACUAUGACUUUUGACAUUAUCAUCUCUUUUAUCAUUUCUUCGAGUUCUUUGGCAAGAACAAAAAACCUUAUCUACCCAAGUACCAUACUUAUCCUUAUGUCCUUUAGUUUUUCAAAUACUAAAUCCAACUUCUUUGGCAUAUCUGUUGUAAAAAUCAUAAAUAUCUUGUUCUGUUUCAAAUUCCAUUCCAACUUUUGGAAUAAUUUCUUCCGAUAUAUUUGCAUGAGCUGAAAUCAUAAUAUUAGUAUUAGAAUCAAUCAUGUUUGAACACUUAUCUUGCUCAAGAUUCUGCUCCUCCAUUCGUUCAAUUGAUGGGAGAAUAUCAUCUUCAGUAAAUUUUAAUCUUCGACAUAAUCGAUCUUUAUUAAUUGUAUUUGUAGUUUCUUUAUCCAUACCCUAAAAAAUAAAAAUAAAUAAAUUUAGUUAUCUUUUAAAUUAAUAGAAGAAUCAUGCCUUCUUUUUCUACUAUUUCAUUCUAUAUGCUCAAAAAUUUAUUAAUUAAACACAAUUAAUGAAAAAAAUACAUCAAAUUUGAAUUAAACAAUACAUAUACACAUAUAUAUAAAUAUAUAAAGUUUAAAAAAUAUAAAAAAUAAAAAAAAGCUUAAAUUAAAAAGUUAAUGAAAAGAGAACCACGUACAACUAAAUUUGAUAUCAAUAUUUUCAUGAAAGAACAAAAUACAAAAUGAAACAUGAAUAAUUAUGAAUAAGACAUAAAAAAAAAAUUGAAUGCCUUUCAAAAGAAAAAUAUGAAAAACAUUAUUUGCAAGCACAAAAUUCAAUAAAACAUCAUGUAAUGAAUCAAUAAAUAUAAAAUUGAAAUCUAAAGAAUUAAUAAAAAAAAACUUACAAAAAGUAUCUCACUAAAAGGUAAAAGUGAAGCAAAAGAGGAGCAGCAGCCAAAACAAAGUAAAAGUAAAGUAGGCAGCAAGUAGGAAAAAAACUUAGAAUGAGAUUUUGUUUCUUUUUAUUUUUAAGAAAAAAAACCUAGAAUGAGAUUUUGUUUUUUUUUUAUUUUUAAAGUGACAUUAACGAUUUUAAAAAUUGUGGGACUGCCGUUUUUAACAUCCCAUUAAAGGAUAGGAUAGAUGGCAAACAUAUGGAGAGGAGGCACGGAUGGGGGCACAAAAGGGGGGCAGAGGAUUUGUGUUCAUAAUCCACAUGCAUAUGUGAAAUUAUAGCUAAUUAAUUAAUUGAAAGUAUCAAAAUUGUUAUGCAAUAAAUGCAAGAACUAAUCAAAGGACCAAAUACAGAAACUUCUUGUUGGCAUAUACCACCAGCCAAGUCCACCAAUUGUUUAUUAAUUAGUCCCAUUUGAAGAAAUAAAUUAUAUUUAGUGGAUUGUUCUUGUGAAUUAUUGGUUCCAAGUUGACUAUUUGGCAACGGAAUCUAGCAAAAUCUUACAUACACACACCAAAGCAACAAUGCAAAUUAAUAGAAACAUGUAUUGUCAACCAUAAACGAAUGGAUUACAAUUUAUAACAAGUUUUUCAAAAUAUAUAGUAAUUGCUUAUUUUUUGUUUGUUUGUUUGUUGGUUUUUUAUAUCGAUUCAGUAUUAGAUUUAUUAAAGUGGUGAGAUUUCCAUAUCUAUUAAAUUAGCAGUAUUUUAGAUAUAUAAUUAUAAUCAAGAUCUCUCUAUUUAUUAUCAAUUAAUUUUAAAUUGAAUCGACCAAGUUUCUAGCCUUAAUCUUGCAGGCAGAAGACUUAAUGUGUCAUUACACCCCUUUUCUCUAGGAGAAUACAAGGCAAUUAUCCACCUAACAACCUAAAACUGCACAUGUGAGGAGGAUAGUAAAGAGAUGACAGUCUCACAUCAAUUAAGUUAAGAAUAUUCUCAAUAAAUAAAUAUAAUAAGAGUCUCUUCAUUUAUUGUCAAUGAAUUUCAAGUUAGAUGUCAAUCUAAAUUUCAACAAAAUUAGCUUAGAUGGAUACAGGUACCCUUCUUAUCCAUUUACUGAUCUCUGCAUUCGGGAAACCUAAAUCGGAUCUAACAAUGAGCUGUUCUACAUGCAACUGCAAUGCUGUCAAGUUACAUCAUGUUAGUAAACUUUGUACAAUAUCAUUGAAUUAUAGGUGGUUGUGAAUUAGUGAUCAGUUGGGUAGUAAGCAUAAAUGCUGCCAGUUAGUCGAGCACCCAAAGGUUUUUUCUCUUUCAAACGACAAAUAAAGUACGUAUUGGAUAGUGUAGCACUUAAUUUAAGCAUGCAUGUGGCUUUUCUUUGUUGUACAAAACCAUUUCAAUGGCUUGAAAAUCCAGACCAGCAGUUCAUAUGCAAUUCAAUUGACCUUACAACUUUUCCCUUUACAUAUGACACUGACCACAUGUGUACAAUCAUUAUUUAGUGGAGACUACAUAUAUGCUUUGAGAAAAAUACUAUUUCUCUUAUCAGUUUUGCCUUAACACUUUUGUGAUAAUAAUUUAUUAUUAAUUUGAUUGCAAUAUUUCAUUUAUAAAUUAAUUGAUUUACUCAUAAAUGGAUAGAUUUCAUCUCUGAAUCUAUUCAAUAAUUACAUGUCAUGUAAAGAAUAUAAAUAUAUAUUUGAGAUAAAAGUGACGGGGCAAGUAAUAUGACUUCUGUUCUCUCCUAAUUAAGCAUCAAGUUGAUGAAGGAAGCCUUUUACAAAACUAUUAGAAUGUUGAAAAGAAAAUUGGAAACACAAACACACACUAGCAUCAACUAUUAUAUGAUUUAUAUAUAUACAAAUAAAAUAUAUAUAUAUAUAUAUAUAAGAGAGAGAGAGAAACAUAGUGAAUUUCGUAAAUAAUGUGAAUAAAAAUUAGUAGAAAAAAUUAUUAUCAUAUAUGUUAGAAGUUAAUCAUAAGUUGAGCCAUUUCUUGACAAUUUAAAUUUUUGGGAUAACAGAUUACAUCAACAUAAUAUCAAAAUUGUGUAACUCAAAUUAGAAUCUUGAUAAUUUCACUCAUUUUUUCUUUAACUUUUUCAUAUGAUAUCUUGCCCAUUUAUCAGCUUUAUGUGCAAUGCUCUUUAACCAUUUUUAACCUUUACUCCGUUUUUUUUUUUUAACACUUAUAUUCAUGCAAAACUCAUUGAUCAUUAAUCCAACUUUUAUGUGACGGGACAAUUUUGAAGUUUAACAUAUUUAAAAAGUUAUCUAAAAGUGAAACAAUCUUGAAGCUCAUAUGAAAUAGAUGUAUUUAAUUUUUAAUUUUUGCAAAAUUUUACAAUUGCCCUAGAAAAUUUAACAAAACUAUUAAAAUUAAAUAGUACAUAGGCUUGGCUUUCAAUUUUCAUUUUCGAGAAAAAUCGUCCAAGUAUCAUUGAACCAGUAACUUUUUAGAUUUAAAUCAUGUAAUUCUCUCAACUUAAACUCUAUGGAGUGGCAUAUAGAAGUUGAAAAUUUAUGUGCAUAGGACACCAACGAAAGGUUUGACUACUGAACCUAUGUACAAUUUUCCAUUUAAUUCUUCAACUUCACUAACCGAAUCAAACCAGAUUCCACCAUUUCCAUCCAACUGCUUCAUAAUCUUUCCCUCUUGGUCAUAUUUGACCCCGACAGGGUCUAGAGUAAACCAGCGGAUAGUUGUUUCAACAGAAAAUUUGGUCUCGCCGUCAUUUUGGAUCCUUCCUCUUCCACUGUUUAGUGCUACCCAAAACUCUCCUUUAUCAUUUCUCUUGAUGUUAUCUGGCAUUUUUGGCAACUGCGCAAACUGUUCUGGAAUAUAACUGUCUGUCGUACUAUCAAGGUUGAACUUCAAAAUUCUCAUUUUAGUUGUUUCGGCAACUAAAAGGAAUGAAUUG